rnacentral:rRNA from 1 species
GUGGGGAAUAUUGGACAAUGGGCGAAAGCCUGAUCCAGCCAUGCCGCGUGUGUGAAGAAGGUCUUCGGAUUGUAAAGCACUUUAAGUUGGGAGGAAGGGCAGUAAGCUAAUACCUUGCUGUUUUGACGUUACCGACAGAAUAAGCACCGGCUAACUUCGUGCCGGCAGCCGCGGUAAUACGAAGGGUGCAAGCGUUAAUCGGAAUUACUGGGCGUAAAGCGCGCGUAGGUGGUUUUGUAAGUUGGAGGUGAAAUCCCCGGGCUCAACCUGGGAACUGCCUCCAAAACUGCAUGACUAGAGUACGGUAGAGGGUAGUGGAAUUUCCUGUGUAGCGGUGAAAUGCGUAGAUAUAGGAAGGAACACCAGUGGCGAAGGCGACUACCUGGACUGAUACUGACACUGAGGUGCGAAAGCGUGGGGAGCAAACAGGAUUAGAUACCCGUGUAGUCC